ACGAACGCUGGCGGCGUGCUUAACCCAUGCAAGUCGAACGGAAAGGCCCUGCUUUUGUGGGGUGCUCGAGUGGCGAACGGGUGAGUAACACGUGAGUAACCUGCCCUUGACUUUGGGAUAACUUCAGGAAACUGGGGCUAAUACCGGAUAGGAGCUCCUGCUGCAUGGUGGGGGUUGGAAAGUUUCGGCGGUUGGGGAUGGACUCGCGGCUUAUCAGCUUGUUGGUGGGGUAGUGGCUUACCAAGGCUUUGACGGGUAGCCGGCCUGAGAGGGUGAUCGGCCACAUUGGGACUGAGAUACGGCCCAGACUCCUACGGGAGGCAGCAGUGGGGAAUAUUGCACAAUGGGCGGAAGCCUGAUGCAGCAACGCCGCGUGCGGGAUGACGGCCUUCGGGUUGUAAACCGCUUUCGCCUGUGACGAAGCGUGAGUGACGGUAAUGGGUAAAGAAGCACCGGCUAACUACGUG
rnacentral:rRNA from 1 species